rnacentral:rRNA from 1 species
UACGUAGGGUCCGAGCGUUGUCCGGAAUUAUUGGGCGUAAAGAGCUCGUAGGCGGCUUGUCGCGUCGGAUGUGAAAGCCCGGGGCUUAACCCCGGGUCUGCAUUCGAUACGGGCAGGCUAGAGUUCGGUAGGGGAGAUCGGAAUUCCUGGUGUAGCGGUGAAAUGCGCAGAUAUCAGGAGGAACACCGGUGGCGAAGGCGGACGCUCGUCGGGCGAUACUGACAGCUGAGGAGCGAAAGCGUGGGGUAGCAAACAGG